GGAGGAUGCGAGCGUUAUCCGGAUUUAUUGGGUUUAAAGGGUGCGUAGGCGGUCCGUUAAGUCAGCGGUAAAAUUGCGGGGCUCAACCCCGUCGAGCCGUUGAAACUGGCAGACUUGAGUUGGCGAGAAGUACGCGGAAUGCGCGGUGUAGCGGUGAAAUGCAUAGAUAUCACGCAGAACCCCGAUUGCGAAGGCAGCAUACCGGCGCCCUACUGACGCUGAGGCACGAAAGUGCGGGUAUCGAA
rnacentral:rRNA from 1 species